rnacentral:rRNA from 1 species
UGGGGGAUAUUGCACAAUGGGCGAAAGCCUGAUGCAGCGACGCCGCGUGGGGGAUGAAGGCCUUCGGGUUGUAAACUUCUUUUGCUCUGAACAAGGCGCACCAUGGGGUGUGUUGAGUGUAGGGGUUGAUUAGCGCCGGCUAACUACGUGCCAGCAGCCGCGGUAAUACGUAGGGCGCGAGCGUUGUCCGGAAUUAUUGGGCGUAAAGGUCUUGUAGGUGGCUGGUUGCGUCUGUCGUGAAAGCUCAUGGCUUAACUGUGGGUUUGCGGUGGGUACGGGCUGGCAUGAGUGCAGUAGGGGAGGCUGGAAUUCCUGGUGUAGAGGUGGAAUGCGCAGAUAUCAGGAGGAAUACCGGUGGCGAAGGCGGGUCUCUGGGCUGUUACUGACACUGAGGAGCGAAAGCAUGGGGAGCGAACAGG